GAUGAACGCUGGCGGCGUGCCUAAUACAUGCAAGUCGAGCGAACAGACGAGGAGCUUGCUCCUCUGACGUUAGCGGCGGACGGGUGAGUAACACGUGGAUAACCUACCUAUAAGACUGGGAUAACUUCGGGAAACCGGAGCUAAUACCGGAUAAUAUAUUGAACCGCAUGGUUCAAUAGUGAAAGACGGUUUUGCUGUCACUUAUAGAUGGAUCCGCGCCGCAUUAGCUAGUUGGUAAGGUAACGGCUUACCAAGGCGACGAUGCGUAGCCGACCUGAGAGGAUGAUCAGCCACACUGGAACGGAGACACGGUCCAGACUCCUACGGGAGGCAGCAGUAGGGAAUAUUGCACAAUGGGCGAAAGCCUGACGGAGCAACGCCGCGUGAGUGAUGAAGGUCUUCGGAUCGUAAAACUCUGUUAUUAGGGAAGAACAAAUGUGUAAGUAACUAUGCACGUCUUGACGGUACCUAAUCAGAAAGCCACGGCUAACUACGUG
rnacentral:rRNA from 1 species